ensembl:lincRNA
UUAAUACAAAAGGAGAAAUGAAAUGCUGGGGAUUCUCUGGGAUUCUCUGCAGUAUACCUGCUAACCAAGUGGAAGUGUGUAUGGUGAUCUAAUGAAAAGGGUGUCAGGCGUACAGAUCUAUAGACAAUCUACAGACAAUCUACAGACAACCCAACAGAGCUCCUCCUGUGCUUUCACCUGUACACAAUGCCAGGGCCCAGCUGGACCGAAAAUGUGGGUAUUUCUGGGUUUGUGUCCACCAGGACAUGAGGGAGGAUAUACUACAGAGUUCUCAGAGCACUUUGCACACCAUCUGAGAUCAGGUGAUGACAGUGAAGACGAAUUACUCAUUAAAUACACCAGAAUGUUUCAUAAAAGAAUCAAUGAAAGUUGCACCUGAAACACUGGUGCAGUACACCAGCUAUGAUCAGGGCGUUCCGGAGGUGAUCCUAUGUUCUCAGAAGCUCUACAUGCAAAUCCCUUCAACUUUGCUCAGGGGGAUGAGCUCACCGCAGAAAUUGUCCUGGUUUUUGACCUCAAAAUCCAGGCGCAUCAUUUUGAAAAACAAAGAUGAAGACCACAAAGGGGAACAGACUCAAUUUACUGAAAAGCACCAGAUAUUUGCACAGAAGCACCUCAACAGAAAAGUUUUACAGGUGAGAAACACAGUUCCAGGGCUGUAGAGGAAAUGCCUGUCAGAGUCAAGGUCUGAAGUGGCUGGCCUUUUUCUAACACGCAGCCUUCUCUUCUACAAGGACACCUUCGACCCUCCCCAUAAAAGCAGCAUCUUCUCUUCAGCAACAUGGGUGCAGUGAACGCAGACAGCCUCAAACUAAGAGAAGUGAAAGGGUAAGGCCAAUUAAGGCAGAAUGAGGAAUAUUCAAAUCUGACGGUUUGUGCUUGCUUCCCUCCUGACUUCCUCUUCACCCCCUUCCCUGCAUUAACACCUUCUGCUUCCACCGCUGGGCAUCCAGAACUCCUAGAAUCCCUCAUCCGUCUAUAAGAGUUCCUCUUUCCUAUGGACUUCCUGCCCCAAUUAAAAGCUCUGAUCUCAGCAGUUGUUAUCCAGUGACUGCGAGUUUAACCUGAGCCUUUUGUUUCCUUAGGGCCAGUGUGUGCAGGUCAAAGAAGCUGUGCGAUGUAAUAAAGAGGGCGGACUCUUGGGGGUUGUUGUUUUUUUUUUUUUUUUUUCCCGGUACCGGGAAUCGAACUCAUGACCUUGAGCUUGCCAGGCAGGCACUGUGCCGCUGAGCUAAUUCCCCAGCCUCCGACUCUUGGGGUUUGCAUCCCUGCUCUGCCUCUCAUUAGCUCCCUCACUAAGCAAACUCCUCAGCCUCCUCGUGCCUCACUGUCCUUCUAGAGAGCUGUCCACUCGAGCGCUCACUGUGGGGAAGGGUCUGCAUGUGGCAUCCUUAGAAAAUACUGGCACACAGUUCAUUACAUUUAUGUUACUUCACUGGAAUCCGAGUGUAUAUUUAAUUACAAAAUUAACUGUGGUGAGUCUGUUACUAUAGGAAUCGCACACAGUACUAUGCACAGUCACAAAGCUACUUAGGAGGAUCACUCGCACCUCUGAAAUCAAAGCACACAGGACUCUAGGCACAGGAGGUUAGGUCUAUGAAGAAUCAGAAGGGAAAAAAGGCAAUUUAAAAUGUGCAAUUUUUAAAUUAAAAUAUUUUCAAUUGAUUAUGCAUAGUGACAUUUUGAAUAGGUGAUAAUGAAUGUACUAUCAGAAAAUAGAGGAAACUUAAACUUUAAAGAACAGAGAAAUACUCAGUCCUCCAGCUCCACAAGAGUUUAGUCUCAAUGCCUUUUAAUCCCCUGACACUAGGCAUGAUCUAUUUCAUCUGCUCCUUUAAUGGGGUCCUUCUACUCUCUUAGUAUCAGAUUAGAAUAGUCACAUGGGAUAUAUGAUUUUCAUUAAAAGGACACAUCUACUUACAUUUUUAUAACCUUGAGGAGGAAUUAUUCCCCAACCAUAUUCAUCCCUUAAGUACAUAAAACUGGAUUUUAUAAUACUUUCAAUAAUGGCCAAUAUAUAAUUACGUUUCAGUGAAAGACAUAUUCAAUGCAUUGCACUUUACAAUCCAAACUUCACAAUAAAUAACCUAAAAGCACUAUAAAAGCGCACAUUUUUAAUGUAUCAGCAGGCAUGCUUUUUUUCCAAUUUGUUGUUGGCAGGGCUUCAAAUAACGCUUAACAUACAGAUGGCCAACCUUAUUACCUAUGAAAGACAGCAUUCAGCAUGUUAGCAAAUUGAGUUGGAAAAAUUACAGGUAAGAGAAUGCUUCACAAUCACAGUAAUGAUGGUUUUCAUUUUUGCAAACCAAUGAUUUAUAAUUUAGAUAUAUAAACUUAUAUUUCUUUAUUUGGGUAGCAAACCUCACUAUAACAUACAUCUAAUACUAUUACUUAAUAUAAAAUGGCAAACCAUUUUUUGAUAAAUAUGUCACAGAUUUGCUCAAUGUUUGUUGAAAUGCUUUACUAUUUUUUAAACUGAACUUCCUCUCUCUGCCUAAGAACUAUAUGACUGGAAAGAAAUUAUUUUAGCCCUAAAAAAUGGAAGAUCUAUGAUUCUGUUGCACACCUUUUUCAGCACUUCCCCUGACAUAUAUUUUCACAAUGAA